CGCGACUGAGAUGGCAGGCGGGUCAGGACGUCGCUGCUCGAGCAGGGAUCCAACCUAACCGCGCGUGCCGAACACAACUCACGCGCCGUGCGUCCAAAUGCUCCGUCGAUGCACGCCCAGCACCGGCCCCAACGCCCGGCAAUAGAUGCCGUGCGCUGCUGCCCGUGCGGACGUUGCAAGGUCGAAGCAAGUCCCGCUUGACACGAUAGCCCGCCCUUGGGGGGAGCAGAGGAGAUGAAGGCACGCCGAGGCUCGUGGCCCCGCGCACGAAAUGUGAGGGGCGAAAGGCGAUCGAUAAAACUUGAUAAUGCCUGGGCAUUAGGUAUGCAGCACAGGAAACCGACUUCGAGCAAGCCUGCAUUGAGCUUGCCCCGGGACUGAGAUUGCAGGCGGAUCAGGACGUCGCAGCUCGAGCAGGGAUCCAACCUAACCGCACGUGCUGAACACAACUCACGCGACGUGCUUCCAAAUGCUACGUCGAUGCACGCCCAGCACCGGCCCCAACGCCCAGCAAUAGAUGCCGUGCGCUGCUGCCCAUGCGGACAUUGCAAGGCUGAAGCAAGUCCCGCUUGACACGAUAGCCCGCCCUUGGGGGGAGCAG
rnacentral:lncRNA from 1 species